UCAACGUGAUGCCUAGUCGCAAAUAGAGUGUAGUUAAGCCGGGUGUAAUUAUGAAUUAUACCGACUUUCCUAAUAUGAUUAAUAUGCCGAAUAACGUCGUCCAUGGUGGCGUUGACGCUGCACGCCACGUGAUAUGCAUAAAAGUUAACCAUGACGAGACCACCGUUUCGAGCGACCAUCUUCAGGACAUCGUCGGGAACGUUUCGGGAGGAAUUACACAGAGUGUAGGCGGCAGAGUGGCUGAAGAUGACGGGGGCUGACGAAACGUUAAUGGCGGACAUUGCGGUGUAGACUGAUGAGUGGGAUAAGUCAACUAAAAAAAAAAUUAUGUAUAUAUUUUUCAGGAAAAAUAAAGACGACUUUUCAA